ncrna:unclassified sequences PAGEV RNA
CGGGGCUUGGAAUCAAGAUGCUGUGGGCCCCGCCAGCGUUUUAUCCGGCUAUCACGGGGAUCCUCGCAAGCCGGACGGUAUAGCCAUCAACACUUAAAGUAGGCCGCAUGGGGAAGCUCACAUCGCCCCAGGUGCUCCGAAUUUUAUGUAGUGUCUGAUGCUGCGCGCCGCGGGGGGGUGGGUCGUGUUGGACGGCCCAGAAGGUGCAGACGCCG